rnacentral:rRNA from 1 species
UACGUAGGGACCGAGCGUUGUCCGGAAUCAUUGGGCGUAAAGAGCGUGUAGGCGGCCAGACAAGUCUGCUGUGAAAACUCGAGGCUCAACCUCGAGCUGUCGGUGGAAACUGUCUGGCUAGAGUCCGGAAGAGGAGAGUGGAAUUCCUGGUGUAGCGGUGAAAUGCGCAGAUAUCAGGAAGAACACCUAUGGCGAAGGCAGCUCUCUGGGACGGUACUGACGCUGAGACGCGAAAGCGUGGGGAGCGAACAGG